GUGGGGAAUCUUGCGCAAUGGGCGAAAGCCUGACGCAACCAUGCCGCGUGAAUGAUGAAGGUCUUAGGAUUGUAAAAUUCUUUCACCGGGGACGAUAAUGACGGUACCCGGAGAAGAAGCUCCGGCUAACUUCGUGCCAGCAGCCGCGGUAAUACGAAGGGGGCUAGCGUUGCUCGGAAUUACUGGGCGUAAAGGGCGCGUAGGCGGACAGCUUAGUCAGAGGUGAAAGCCCAGGGCUCAACCUUGGAAUUGCCUUUGAUACUGGCUGUCUUGAGUUUGGGAGAGGUGAGUGGAACUCCGAGUGUAGAGGUGAAAUUCGUAGAUAUUCGGAAGAACACCAGUGGCGAAGGCGACUCACUGGCCCAAUACUGACGCUGAGGCGCGAAAGCGUGGGGAGCAAACAGGAUUAGAUACCCGUGUAGUCC
rnacentral:rRNA from 1 species